rnacentral:rRNA from 1 species
UCUAGCCAGACUGCCGGUGAUAAAUCGGAGGAAGGUGGGGACGACGUCAAAUCAUCAUGCCCUUUAUGUCCUGGGCUACACACGUACUACAAUGGCCGUUACAACGGGAAGCGAAGGAGCAAUCCGGAGCAAUCCCUUAAAGGCGGUCCCAGUUCAGAUUGUGGGCUGAAACUCGCCCACAUGAAGGCGGAAUUGCUAGUAAUUGCAGAUCAGCAUGCUGCAGUGAAUACGUUCCCGGGCCUU